CUUCCCUUCAAAUAUUGUAUUUGAUGACCUUUUCCCAUUGACCAGAAAUACGUCAUGGAUUUACAAUUUCCAGUACAGUCUGACCAGUACAUUAAGAGCACUGAGAAUAAAUUCUUUGCUUCAGAGAGUUAAAAUACAAUGGUUGGCAGGAGAAAAGGCUGUGAGAAGAAGACUUCAUGUACCCCAGGACUUUGCAGGAUCUUUUGUGGAGCAAGUGUUAUGAUGAACCCUCUGCCUGUUCCCAGCUAUGCUUUAGCAAGUGGAGUCUCAACCUACACAUCUUAAAGCUUCACAGAGGCAGCACCAGCACAAAGCAUUCCUUUCAAUGCUUUCCAGUCCAUCCGUCUGGAAAGGCGGUGGUACAGAACUGGGACCCUCAGGAGACAUGGCAAGGACAGUUGUUCUGUCUGCUUCAGCAUCAAGAAUGAAGAAGUAGAAACAGAGCACAGUCACCCUCUCAGAGGUGCCAACUCAUGCAAGUUGAAUUAUACCCUUGCUUAGUAGCCUUGAUAAUGCAGCCAGUGCUCUGAAACCUGAACCAAUUUUCAGACUAGAAAGCACAAAAUUUAAAGCAUGAAUGAGCUGAUAGAAAAAACUGCUUGUACCAGUGGAAUUAUUUUCCACUAAAAGAGCAUUGGAUAGUUUGUGGCCAAGACUUUGUUGCACAAGAAGCACGACAAAGGAAGCCUUGCAGACUUUUAGCAGUGCCAAUCCUUAGCUGAAGUACUAGCCUGUGCACCACUCAGGACACCCAGCCUUGCAUCCCAAACCCCCUGCUCACAGCUGGUGCUUUAGAUCUGCCUGAAGCCUGCUUGAUGUGUUGCACUGUGGUACUGAGCACAGGCACGGUGGGAGAUCAAGUAAGAGCUCCUUGAAAGUCAGUGGGAGUCCGACUGCCUUGAAAUCAAUGAAAAAGGUUUCAGUCUGGAAAUGCCCUGCUGCUUUGUGUGAGGUGGAAAUGACAGAUGAUGGCUUUGAAAGAGUGGUUCUGCUCCAGCCCCUUUGCCUUGUGCCUUGCAGUCCCCUCCACCAGACUGGGGUUCCCUGGAGCACCCAAGCCCUGCAUGCGUGCCCAGUGCUGACCUGCACCUUCCUCCCACCCCAUGUCUCCCACUCUUGCCUCACAAUGUUGCUUCAUUUUUGUCAGCUUCUCUUUGUACCUGUGUGCCCUCCACUGCUCCUUGGUCAUCUUGACCAGGUAUCUUAGCCAGAUGUCAUCUCUGUUUAAAUGGUGGCAGGCAGCCAGGGAAUGGAAAACCAGAAAAAAAAAAUAGUGAAUUCACAGCCAUCACAAUAACC
rnacentral:lncRNA from 1 species